AUAGCCCUGCAUUGGUUAGGGUGUUGUAUUUGGGAAGAACCAACACCAAUUAACAGGGAGCUUGACUCUGGGCGUCUAUUGCAGGCCUUCGUAACCCGAAGGAAGCAAGAACCGUUCAGGCAGGCACCCACCGUGUGCAACACGGUUCUUUUCCAAAUCCAUCCUACCAAUGCAGGGUUUUU
rnacentral:other from 1 species